rnacentral:tRNA from 1 species
GGGUGAGUUAUCAGAUGGGCGCUGAGCCAGACUGUAAAUCUGGCGUCUCCGGACUCGCAUGGUUCGACUCCAUGUUGCCCCACCA